AGUGGCGCAUGGGUGAGUAACACGUGGGUAAUUUGCCCUUGAGACUGGGAUAACCUCGCGAAAGCUUGGCUAAUACCGGAUAAGACCACCCUCGGAAAAGGUGCACUCAGGGAUAAGCCCGCGCACCAUUAGCUUGUUGGUAGGGUAACGGCCUACCAAGGCAACGAUGGUUAGCUGGUCUGAGAGGAUGAUCAGCCACACUGGAACUGAGACACGGUCCAGACUCCUACGGGAGGCAGCAGUGGGGAAUAUUGCGCAAUGGGGGAAACCCUGACGCAGCAACGCCGCGUGAGUGAUGAAGGCCUUCGGGUCGUAAAGCUCUGUCAGGUGGAAAGAAUGACGGUACCACCAAAGGAAGCACCGGCUAACUCCGUGCCAGCAGCCGCGGUAAUACGGGGGGUGCAAGCGUAGU
rnacentral:rRNA from 1 species